CGUAAUAGCUCACUGGUCGAGUCGGCCUGCGCGGAAGAUGUAACGGGGCUAAACCAUGCACCGAAGCUGCGGCAGCGACACUGUGUGUUGUUGGGUAGGGGAGCGUUCUGUAAGCCUGUGAAGGUGUACUGUGAGGUAUGCUGGAGGUAUCAGAAGUGCGAAUGCUGACAUAAGUAACGAUAAAGCGGGUGAAAAGCCCGCUCGCCGGAAGACCAAGGGUUCCUGUCCAACGUUAAUCGGGGCAGG
rnacentral:rRNA from 1 species